CUUGUCCACCUUGAGGUUGGUGGCUGGAGAAGUGGAGCAUGGCAAUGGUUUCACAAUUGGACACCAGAUCCCGAGCUCAGUUUCACAAUGAAUUUGCUUCUCGGCAGUAGUCCAUCUUCCAGGCUCUUUUGAAAUCUGUCUCCUCCCUGCUGACUGUCUUCAGCUCCCAAAGGAAAAAAUGCAUAAUGGCGCAUCGGGACAGAAAGAUUAAAAAAAGAGAUUUCUGGAAGACAA